rnacentral:tRNA from 1 species
UCUCUGUUAGUAUAUCGGUUAGUACACGCGCCUGUCAUCCGUCGCAACGUAGUGGGUCGCGCGAAAGCUGGGUUCGACUCCCAGACAGAGAG